CGCGUAGGCGGACCAUUAAGUCGGAUGUGAAAACUGUCGGCUCAACUGAUAGCCUGCAUUCGAUACUGAUGGCCUUGAGUACGGGAGAGGAGAGUGGAAUUCCAGGUGUAGCGGUGAAAUGCGUAGAUAUCUGGAAGAACACCAGUAGCGAAGGCGGCUCUCUGGACCGAUACUGACGCUCAAGCGCGAAGGCUUGGGGAGCAAACA
rnacentral:rRNA from 1 species